rnacentral:tRNA from 2 species
GGAGGGAUGGCAGAGUGGACGAAUGCACCGGUCUUGAAAACCGGCAGGGCUAAUACCCUCGUGGGUUCGAAUCCCACUCCCUCCGCCA